CCUACGGGAGGCUGCAGUGGGGGAUAUUGCACAAUGGGGGAAACCCUGAUGCAGCGACGCCGCGUGAGUGAAGAAGUAUUUCGGAAUGUAAAGCUCUAUCAGUAGGGAAGAAAAUGACAGUACCUGACCAAGAAGCCCCGGCUAACUACGUGCCAGCAGCCGCGGUAAUACGUAGGGGGCAAGCGGUAUCCGGAUUUACUGGGUGUAAAGGGAUCGUAGGCGGUUAUGUAAGUCUGGAGUGAAAGCCCGGGGCCCAACCCCGGGAGUGCUUUGGAAACUGUGUAACUGGAGUGCAGGAGGGGCGGGCGGAAUUCCUGGUGUAGCGGUGAAAUGCGUAGAUAUCAGGAGGAACACCAGCGGCGAAGGCGGCCUGCUGGACUGAAACUGACGUUGAGGCUCGAAAGCGUGGGGAGCAAACAGGAUUAGAUACCCUUGUAGUC
rnacentral:rRNA from 1 species